rnacentral:rRNA from 1 species
UACGUAGGGACCAAGCGUUGUUCGGAUUUACUGGGCGUAAAGGGCGCGUAGGCGGCAAUUCAAGUCAGUUGUGAAAUCUCCGAGCUUAACUCGGAACGGUCAACUGAUACUGUUUUGCUAGAGUACAGAAGGGGCAAUCGGAAUUCUUGGUGUAGCGGUGAAAUGCGUAGAUAUCAAGAGGAACACCUGAGGUGAAGACGGGUUGCUGGGCUGAUACUGACGCUGAGGCGCGAAAGCGUGGGGAGCGAUCCGG